ACUCUAUCAGAAAUCCGCUCUCUGGAUAUGAGAUUUUGACGACCUUUGUUUUCUCUCAUUCUGAAGAUGAAAAGAAGACGGCCUCUCACAUCGAAGGUCGAACUGACCUCAAACUUUCCUUUCUUUAUUCUCUACUAACCAAGGUCUUUGCUGCUGUUCUCUUAGGGUUUGGAAUACAAAGAAACAAAAAUAAGCUAAGGAUUGGUGCCACUCGAGGCCAGUCUCGGAGUCCAAUGGCAGAGGUGGUUUCUCAGUUUCAAAUCUCCACGGAGCACAACUCACCAAAGGUUCCAGAUUUGAAUCAGUUGCAAAACUUUGUGGAUCGGAUGAGGCAUGUUGGUGAUCUGCUUAAUAUUUCCAUAAGCAAGUAUAUAUGGGGAUUUACACAUUCAGAUUUCAACUACACUGAUCACACUGGGUGCUGAAUUUCAGAAGCUUUUGGUCAUAGGUCAAGUACACUAAUCACACUUAUCAUUAUCAACUUGAUAAGUCAAUCAGUAUGCAGUGCAAACUUCCUGUAAUUACCAAUCAUGUUGUAGACCAUAUAUAAUGUUCGUAAGCUCUCUUAUGAUGGUACAUUGUGAUUCAUAAAAGUGGAGUUGGCUUUAUCCUUU